rnacentral:tRNA from 1 species
GGGGCUGGGGCUCAGCGGUAGAGCGCUCACCUAGUAUGUGCGAGGCACUGAGUUCGAUCGUCAGCACCA